CGCGUUGGCCCAAUUGAUUGAUGGUGCUUGCACCUGAUUGAUUUUGGACGCCAACGAGUGGCGGACGGGUGAGUAACACGUAGGUAACCUGCCCAGAAGCGGGGGACAACAUUUGGAAACAGAUGCUAAUACCGCAUAACAGCGUUGUUCGCAUGAACAACGCUUAAAAGAUGGCUUCUCGCUAUCACUUCUGGAUGGACCUGCGGUGCAUUAGCUUGUUGGUGGGGUAACGGCCUACCAAGGCGAUGAUGCAUAGCCGAGUUGAGAGACUGAUCGGCCACAAUGGGACUGAGACACGGCCCAUACUCCUACGGGAGGCAGCAGUAGGGAAUCUUCCACAAUGGGCGCAAGCCUGAUGGAGCAACACCGCGUGAGUGAAGAAGGGUUUCGGCUCGUAAAGCUCUGUUGUUAAAGAAGAACACGUAUGAGAGUAACUGUUCAUACGUUGACGGUAUUUAACCAGAAAGUCACGGCUAACUACGUGCCAGCAGCCGCGGUAAUACGUAGGUGGCAAGCGUUAUCCGGAUUUAUUGGGCGUAAAGAGAGUGCAGGCGGUUUUCUAAGUCUGAUGUGAAAGCCUUCGGCUUAACCGGAGAAGUGCAUCGGAAACUGGAUAACUUGAGUGCAGAAGAGGGUAGUGGAACUCCAUGUGUAGCGGUGGAAUGCGUAGAUAUAUGGAAGAACACCAGUGGCGAAGGCGGCUACCUGGUCUGCAACUGACGCUGAGACUCGAAAGCAUGGGUAGCGAACAGGAUUAGAUACCCUGGUAGUCCAUGCCGUAAACGAUGAGUGCUAGGUGUUGGAGGGUUUCCGCCCUUCAGUGCCGGAGCUAACGCAUUAAGCACUCCGCCUGGGGAGUACGACCGCAAGGUUGAAACUCAAAGGAAUUGACGGGGGCCCGCACAAGCGGUGGAGCAUGUGGUUUAAUUCGAAGCUACGCGAAGAACCUUACCAGGUCUUGACAUCUUGCGCCAACCCUAGAGAUAGGGCGUUUCCUUCGGGAACGCAAUGACAGGUGGUGCAUGGUCGUCGUCAGCUCGUGUCGUGAGAUGUUGGGUUAAGUCCCGCAACGAGCGCAACCCUUGUUACUAGUUGCCAGCAUUAAGUUGGGCACUCUAGUGAGACUGCCGGUGACAAACCGGAGGAAGGUGGGGACGACGUCAGAUCAUCAUGCCCCUUAUGACCUGGGCUACACACGUGCUACAAUGGACGGUACAACGAGUCGCGAACUCGCGAGGGCAAGCAAAUCUCUU
rnacentral:rRNA from 1 species